GACGAACGCUGGCGGCGUGCCUAAUACAUGCAAGUCGAGCGGACUUUCAAGAAGCUUGCUUUUUGAAAGUUAGCGGCGGACGGGUGAGUAACACGUGGGCAACCUGCCUGUAAGACGGGGAUAACUCCGGGAAACCGGGGCUAAUACCGGAUAAUAUCUUCCUUCGCAUGAAGGAAGGUUGAAAGGCGGCGCAAGCUGCCGCUUGCAGAUGGGCCCGCGGCGCAUUAGCUAGUUGGUGAGGUAACGGCUCACCAAGGCGACGAUGCGUAGCCGACCUGAGAGGGUGAUCGGCCACACUGGGACUGAGACACGGCCCAGACUCCUACGGGAGGCAGCAGUAGGGAAUCUUCCGCAAUGGACGAAAGUCUGACGGAGCAACGCCGCGUGAGCGAAGAAGGUCUUCGGAUCGUAAAGCUCUGUUGUCAGGGAAGAACAAGUACCGUUCGAACAGGGCGGUACCUUGACGGUACCUGACCAGAAAGCCACGGCUAACUACGUG
rnacentral:rRNA from 1 species